GCCUACCACCAUACCAUCCUGAAUGCACCCAAUCUCAUCUGUUCUCAGAAGCUAAGCAGGGUGAAGCCUGGUUAAUACUUGGAUGGGAGAAAGUAACUGUCAGGAGAAAGGGCCUCUGUAUUUU
rnacentral:rRNA from 1 species